rnacentral:rRNA from 1 species
UACGUAGGGUGCAAGCGUUGUCCGGAAUUAUUGGGCGUAAAGAGCUUGUAGGCGGUUUGUCGCGUCUGCUGUGAAAUUUCGGGGCUCAACCCCGAACUUGCAGUGGGUACGGGCAGACUAGAGUGUGGUAGGGGGGACUGGAAUUCCUGGUGUAGCGGUGAAAUGCGCAGAUAUCAGGAGGAACACCGAUGGCGAAGGCAGGUCUCUGGGCCGAUACUGACGCUGAGGAGCGAAAGCGUGGGGAGCGAACAGG